AUAGAUACAAGCUAGCGGCGGAUGGGUGGAGUAACGACGUGGGUAACCCUGCCCUUAAAGUACUGGGAUACCAUUUGGAAACAGAUGCUAAUACCGGAUAAAAAGACUACUUUCGCAUGAAAGAAGUUUAAAAAAGGUACGGCGUAAAGCUGUCGCUAAAGGAUGGACCUGCGAUGCAUUAGCUAGUUGGUAAGGUAACGGCUUACCAAGGCGAUGAUGCAUAGCCGAGUUGAGAGACUGAUCGGCCACAUUGGGACUGAGACACGGCCCAAACUCCUACGGGAGGCAGCAGUAGGGAAUCUUCCACAAUGGACGCAAGUCUGAUGGAGCAACGCCGCGUGAGUGAAGAAGGUUUUCGGAUCGUAAAGCUCUGUUGUUGGUGAAGAAGGAUAGAGGUAGUAACUGGCCUUUAUUUGACGGUAAUCAACCAGAAAGUCACGGCUAACUACGUGCCAGCAGCCGCGGUAAAU
rnacentral:rRNA from 1 species